rnacentral:rRNA from 1 species
UACGGAGGGCGCAAGCGCUGUUCGGAAUCACUGGGCGUAAAGCGCGUGUAGGCGGCUUGGUAAGGCGGGUGUGAAAGCCCGGGGCCUAACCCCGGAACUGCACUCGAAACUGCCUCGCUCGAGUCCCGGAGAGGAUGGUGGAAUUCCCGGUGUAGUGGUGAAAUACGUAGAUAUCGGGAGGAACACCAGCGGCGAAGGCGGCCAUCUGGACGGUGACUGACGCUGAGACGCGAAAGCGUGGGGAGCAAACAGG